rnacentral:lncRNA from 15 species
AGCCGGAGACGCUGGACUGCUGAGAGCCGCCUCAUUGUGUCGUUUGGACCCGGACUGGACGCACCGUCUCUCUCUCUGUCCGUCGGUGUCUCUCUCUCUCGCGGUGGAUUUAUACCUGAACGGGGCUCCGCUGCUCCCGGACGAGGAUUUUCCUGCCGGUUUCGGUCCCCGUUUAUUUGGGAAUAACCAGGAGCUGUUGUGGAUUAAUGUGGACUGUGUGUUCGGAUCCCGGUUCUCCUCUUCUUCUGAUCCGGAGGAUGUGGACUCAGAAAGCAGAUUUAUAAACAGAGGACUUAAUCCAGACCAGAGCAACAUUUGGACUUCUUCGCCUUCUCUUCCUGGAUUUGGACAUUUCUCCCUCACUGAUUGGCUCUCCUGUGCAGCUGCCUGUGAUUGGACAGUCCUGAAUUCAAGGACGUCUGAGGGGGUCCACCCCCGCCUCUUGACUUCCUGGAACGUGGUGAGCACUUCCUGUACCUGACUGGCUGGAAGCUUCUCCUGUGCGUCACCGCAGAUUUUUACACUCCGACGCCCACCAUGACCUGCUGACAUCACCACGCCCCGUCCUCCCCCCUCCUCCUC